CUGUGGCCUGGUUCAAGUAAUCCAGGAUAGGCUGUUUCCAUUCUAGCUGGCCUAUUCUUGGUUACUUGCACUGGGAGGCAG
rfam:Cuculus canorus isolate BGI_N303 unplaced genomic scaffold scaffold202, whole genome shotgun sequence.